rnacentral:rRNA from 1 species
UACGUAGGAGGGCAAGCGUUGUCCGGAAUCGAUUGGGCGUAAAGCGCGCGUAGGCGGCCCGGUAAGUCCGUUGUGAAAGUCAGAGGCUCAACCUCUGGAGGCCAAUGGAUACUGCCAGGCUAGAGUCCGGAAGAGGCGAGUGGAAUUCCUGGUGUAGCGGUGGAAUGCGCAGAUAUCAGGAGGAACACCGAUGGCGAAGGCAGGUCUCUGGGCGAUUAACUGACGCUGAGGAGCGAAAGCAUGGGGAGCGAACAGG